rnacentral:rRNA from 1 species
GGGCGGGCUACCUGCAGUCGACGGUACAGGAAGAAGCUUGCUGCUUUGCUGACGAGUGGCGGACGGGUGAGUAAUGUCUGGGAAACUGCCUGAUGGAGGGGGAUAACUACUGGAAACGGUAGCUAAUACCGCAUAACGUCGCAAGACCAAAGAGGGGGACCUUCGGGCCUCUUGCCAUCGGAUGUGCCCAGAUGGGAUUAGCUAGUAGGUGGGGUAACGGCUCACCUAGGCGACGAUCCCUAGCUGGUCUGAGAGGAUGACCAGCCACACUGGAACUGAGACACGGUCCAGACUCCUACGGGAGGCAGCAGUGGGGAAUAUUGCACAAUGGGCGCAAGCCUGAUGCAGCCAUGCCGCGUGUAUGAAGAAGGCCUUCGGGUUGUAAAGUACUUUCAGCGGGGAGGAAGGGAGUAAAGUUAAUACCUUUGCUCAUUGACGUUACCCGCAGAAGAAGCACCGGCUAACUCCGUGCCAGCAGCCGCGGUAAUACGGAGGGUGCAAGCGUUAAUCGGAAUUACUGGGCGUAAAGCGCACGCAGGCGGUUUGUUAAGUCAGAUGUGAAAUCCCCGGGCUCAACCUGGGAACUGCAUCUGAUACUGG